UGGGGAAUAUUGCACAAUGGGCGAAAGCCUGAUGCAGCAACGCCGCGUGAGUGAUGAAGGUCUUCGGAUUGUAAAGCUCUGUCUUUUGGGACGAUAAUGACGGUACCAAAGGAGGAAGCCACGGCUAACUACGUGCCAGCAGCCGCGGUAAUACGUAGGUGGCGAGCGUUGUCCGGAUUUACUGGGCGUAAAGGGUGCGUAGGCGGAUGUUUAAGUGAGAUGUGAAAUACCCGGGCUUAACUUGGGUGCUGCAUUUCAAACUGGAUAUCUAGAGUGCAGGAGAGGAGAAUGGAAUUCCUAGUGUAGCGGUGAAAUGCGUAGAGAUUAGGAAGAACACCAGUGGCGAAGGCGAUUCUCUGGACUGUAACUGACGCUGAGGCACGAAAGCGUGGGUAGCAAACAGGAUUAGAUACCCUGGUAGUCCACGCCGUAAAACGAUGAGUACUAGGUGUAGGAGGUAUCGACCCCUUCUGUGCCGCAGUAAAACACAUUAAGUACUCCGCCUGGGAAGUACGAUCGCAAGAUUAAAAACUCUAAAAGUGAAUUGAC
rnacentral:rRNA from 1 species